GACGAACGCUGGCGGCGCGCUUAACACAUGCAAGUCGAACGGAAAGGCCUGCUUUCCCUUGUGGAUUGCGGGUACUCGAGUGGCGAACGGGUGAGUAACACGUGAGUGAUCUGCCCCCAACUUGGGUAUAAGCCUGGGAAACUGGGUCUAAUUCCCGAUAGGACUGCAGGGUGGUGCCUGUGGUGGAAAACGAUUUUCUAGUGGUUGGGGAUGAGCUCGCGGCCUAUCAGCUUGUUGGUGGGGUAAUGGCCUACCAAGGCGGCGACGGGUAGCCGGCCUGAGAGGGUGGACGGCCACAUUGGGACUGGGAUACGGCCCAGACGCCUACGGGAGGCAGCAGUGGGGAAUAUUGCACAAUGGGCGGAAGCCUGAUGCAGCGACGCUGCGUGGGGGAUGACGGCCUUCGGGUUGUAAACUCCUUUCGACCGCGAGGAAGCCACCUGGUUGGAAGGGUGGUGACGGUAGUGGUAGAAGAAGCACCGGCUAACUACGUG
rnacentral:rRNA from 1 species